CGAAAAUGGGCGCAGCCUGAUGCAGCAACGCCGCGUGAGGGACGACGGCCUUCGGGUUGUAAACCUCUUUUAGCAGGGAAGAAGCGAAAGUGACGGUACCUGCAGAAAAAGCACCGGCUAACUACGUGCCAGCAGCCGCGGUAAUACGUAGGGUGCAAGCGUUGUCCGGAAUUAUUGGGCGUAAAGAGCUCGUAGGCGGUUUGUCGCGUCUGCUGUGAAAACGCGAGGCUCAACCUCGCGCCUGCAGUGGGUACGGGCAGACUAGAGUGCGGUAGGGGAGAUUGGAAUUCCUGGUGUAGCGGUGGAAUGCGCAGAUAUCAGGAGGAACACCGAUGGCGAAGGCAGAUCUCUGGGCCGUAACUGACGCUGAGGAGCGAAAGCGUGGGGAGCGAACAGGAUUAGAUACCCUGGUAGUCCACGCCGUAAACGUUGGGAACUAGAUGUAGGGACCAUUCCACGGUUUCUGUGUCGCAGCUAACGCAUUAAGUUCCCCGCCUGGGGAGUACGGUCGCAAGACUAAAACUCAAG
rnacentral:rRNA from 1 species